GUGCUUGUUCUUACACUAUUCAGGAUUGGGAAUAUUUCAUGCAACAGAUCAAAAGAUUAAUAAAGAUGCUUAUGAAUGGCUGAUGAGAGAACCUCCAAAUGUGUGGACUAGAUCUAUGUUUAGCCCUAUACGUAAGUGUGAGAUGUUGGCAAACAAUAUGUCAGAGUCCUUUAAUCAAUACAUAAAGGAAGCAAGGGACAAACCCAUAAUAACAAUGCUGGAAAUGAUUAGAAGGCAACUGAUGUAACAAAAGAAGUUGGAUUGAAACAUGCAAUGGAAGCAUUUGUCCAAAGAUUCAAAAGACUUUAGAGGAGCUGAAGAGUGAUGCUAGGUCAUGGGAGGCUACUUGUGCUGGAAAUUCAAUUUUUGAGGUGAGCAAUGGUGUAAGGACAUUUGUUGUUGACUUGGCAAGGCAAAGCUGCAUUUGUAGGAAAUGGGACAUUACUGGUAUACCAUGCCCACAUGGGAUUGCUGCUAUCAUAAAAGACAAGAGGCAACCAGAGUCUUUUGUCCAUCCAUUCUUCCACAAGGAGACAUAUAUGAGCUCAUAUGCUGCCAUUAUUAACCCUAUCCCUGAUCAAACCCAAUGGGUCCACACUGAAUCGGAUGCAAUUAUGGCCCCCUCCUUAAGAAGGCCACCUGGUAGGCCCAAGAAAGCUAGAAGAAAGGGAGUUGACGAGGAAAAAAAUCCACACUUGGCCAGAAGGACCCAUCAGUCCUUAAAGUGUAGUAAUUGCAACCAAUAUGGGCAUAAUACAAGAACUUGCAAGGGGCCUAUUGCAGCAAAGAAACCAAAAGCUGUUGUAAUUAGUGGUGAGGCAAGCUGAGGAAGAGGUAGGGCUGCAACUAGUGCUGAAUCAAGCAGAGGAAGAGGUAGGGGAGAUUCUGCAAGAGGAAGAGCAAGCGGAAGAGGAAGAAGCCAAGCAAGGGGAAGGGGGCGAAGCCAAGCAAGGGGAAGGGGGAGAAACUAAGGACCAACACCUACUCAAGAGAGUUCAAUGAUCACAUAUGAGCACACAAGGCCUACAACUGAAGUUGAUUCUGCAAUGCCGGAGUGGGAAGCUCAAGAGGUGGUGCUAUUGUCCAAAUUAGCCACUCACAAAGCUUGUCAAACAUGGCACCAACACAAGGUUCUCAGGUCCCCACAUCUGCACACAACUCAGGAAUGGCACUUGAUGGAUAUGCAGCCUUUUAGAAGUCAGUCGAAAAGUUCAUGGAGCUGGUAGUUUUAGUUUGGCAUUACUUUUGGAAUAUGCACCUGUUGGUUUUGCUUCUAAUUAAGUACUUUGGCUAGUUAAUUGCUAUCUAAGUUUGUGGA